rnacentral:rRNA from 1 species
UGGGGAAUCUUGCGCAAUGGACGAAAGUCUGACGCAGCGACGCCGCGUGUGGGAGGACGCCUUUCGGGGUGUAAACCACUGUUGCCCGGGACGAACACGGUUUUUCGAGACCGCUGACGGUACCGGGUGAGGAAGCACCGGCUAACUCCGUGCCAGCAGCCGCGGUAAUACGGAGGGUGCGAGCGUUGUCCGGAAUCAUUGGGCGUAAAGGGCGCGUAGGCGGCCCGGGAAGUCGGUGGUGAAAGCGCGGGGCUCAACUCCGCGUCGGCCAGCGAGACUCCCGUGGCUGGAGCACUGUAGAGGCAGGCGGAAUUCCGGGUGUAGCGGUGGAAUGCGUAGAGAUCCGGAAGAACACCGGUGGCGAAGGCGGCCUGCUGGGCAGUAGCUGACGCUGAGGCGCGACAGCGUGGGGAGCAAACAGGAUUAGAUACCCCCGUAGUCC